rnacentral:lncRNA from 1 species
CUUGGCUGAAUUUGAAACAGCUGAAAAAAUGCUCUUUGUGGCUGGCUGAUGUGGUCUGCUAAGACCUUCAGCCUUCUAGGGAAAGUCCGUCCCUGCUGUGACUACUGAGCGUUCAACCCUCAUUUACGUCUGGGUAGCACCUGAGCUGCUCUUAGGAAUGCUUGUCCAAAGCAGGCUCUGAUCCUGUAAUUGAAAUGCAUACGGAUCACACACACACACACACAAAAAAAAAAAAAGCAAGAAAAAUAAUAAAUAAAUAAUUUUGUAAAAUAAAUAAAACCUUAUCCUAUUUGAACAGGAGGGUCAAGGGAGAAUACUGCGUGCUGAAAAUGGCAUCUCCCCCAGGAACGAGCUGCAGCUUUUCAAAGGUGCAAUUCUCACAGAAGCAAUAGGAGCAGCAUCUGUGCUUGCAGCUUUUAAGUUAGUGAUUUGUCUGUAAUUUCUCUGCAAUCACCAAUAUUCUGCGGGGAUUCUAGGGCUUGUUUUUAAUGUGUGUUUUCUUUUCCAUUGCAAAGGCCCAGCUAUCUCUCUGAAAGCCCAUAUGCUCCUGUCCUGUUUGACUUUAUCGCGCAGGAAAUGGCCUCUGUCCAAUUAGCAGCAUGGGAAUUAGCAGUGCUAGAAAUUCACUGCUCCCCACUGUAUUCCCUUCUGAGAGUGCUGAACUUCAGCGUUAAAUUUUCUCCCUUUCCCUUUCUCUCGCCUUUUAAACAGCACACAGCAGACUGAAUGCAUAGGCAGCUAUUAGAAAAGCACCGUUAAUAACAAAGUCAGGAAACGCAGCUGUUAAAUUCCAAGCCAGACAUAUUUCAGGAUCUUGCUGAUGGAUUUGCUUUUGGCAGAAGCUGUUCAGCACUUGGAAGUACACCUGUUUGUUCCUCUCUGCUGUUCCACUUUGCCUUGUUGGCAUCCUUGUGAACUGCCUCCAGCCCCCUGUUCCUGGAGCAGAUGUUACCUUCUGCAAGAUCUAGGAGAUCCCACAGAUCCUUAGGCCAGAAGGUCCCGUUAUGCUCAUCUGGUCUGACCUCCUGCAUUACACAGGGCAUACAAUUUCAUACUGCGAUCUCUUCAUCUAUACAAGUUAUUUGCAGCUGAGCUAAAUCAUAGCUUAUAGAAAGAUAGUCAAAAUACAUACAGCCCUGUGUAGCACUCCUAAAUCCAGACUUUAAGUUUCCUUUGAAACAGUCCUCAAUUAGAAGCUUCUGUCCCUGCUCCCCCUGCAAUAUCAGAAGAGUCCCUUAUCCCUCCUCGACUGCACUAAGCUAUUUUAGA